CAAUGAAAAGAUUUCCAGGAAGCUGUAAGAAGCCAUCAGACCCAUGACCUUAAGAAGAAAGCCACAGGGAUGUGUGGGUAGGGGAGUAGGAAUUGGGAAAAAGAAGAUAGUCUCACUCAUGGGAGGGGCCAGAAGAGGGGCUAGUGUGAUGUCACUAAUGAGAGUAAAAUGAGGAAGGAGCUUGGCCCACCUAGGCCAUUCUCCUGUCUCCAAGCAGGUGAGUCUACACCCCUCUGGGCUACCACCCCUCACCUCAUGCUGUCUCCUGAAAAGGACUCUUCCCCUGGACUGAAACAGGCUUGGCACAUCACCUACAGGUCUCUGGGCAACCAGGGACAGCCACUAUAGCCCUUGGACUCCCAGCCAGACCAUGGGCCUCCUGGCUGGAGGAGUAGGCUUCGAGGAGCUCAAGAGGCUUCUAAACUCACAGCACACACAACAUGUACAUGCAACAUAGCAAGAGCAGACGUGAAUCACAUAGAUUGGCAAACAGCAACACACAGCACCAUGGCAGGCACACAUGCUCAGCCACACGCACCACACACAAGCAGCAAGAAGUUCACAAGC
rnacentral:lncRNA from 1 species